CGAAAGAUUAAUUACCGAUCCGAAAAUUAUUCGAUUGUUCCCACACGUCCGUCGAAAUAAUAAUAGGAGUACAAAAUAAUAGACGAAAAUUGAUCGUGCCCGGAACGAAGAAAGUAUUAUUGAAAACAACGACCGUGUUCGUUUACCGCGAACGUAUUAUUUUCGCCCGCCGCAAUGAAAAAAGAUCGUAUUUCGAUUUUUAUCGAUUUCGAGUUAAUACCGCCGUCCGAUAGAGCAUUUUUUCGGCGUCGUUCCCGAAAAACCGCCGUAUCUCUCCGUAGGGAUCAGAUGCAAUUUAUUUCAAUAAUAAUUUACCGAUGCGAUCUUCAUUUUCGACGAUAACAGUUGUAUAUUAUGUACGGAUAAGACAAAUAGACCAACAUAACCGGCGUCGCCCACGAAAAAGGUCGUAAGCGUAUAGACCAGACCUACGACCUUUAUUAAUCUGUGUAGAUAGGUAUUACUUUUUUUCCAUCAACUGGCCACCU